CCUACGGGCGACAGCAGUGAGGAAUAUUGGUCAAUGGACGAGAGUCUGAACCAGCCAAGUCGCAUGAAGGAUGACUGCCCUAUUGGUUGUAAACUUCUUUUAUCUGGGAAUAAAAUGUUCCACGUGUGGGCUUUUGUAUGUACCAUAUGAAUAAGGAUCGGCUAACUCCGUGCCAGCAGCCGCGGUAAUACGGAGGAUCCGAGCGUUAUCCGGAUUUAUUGGGUUUAAAGGGAGCGUAGGUGGAUUGUUAAGUCAGCUGUGAAAGUGUGCGGCUCAACCGUAAAAUUGCAGUUGAAACUGGCAGUCUUGAGUACAGGAGAGGUGGGCGGAAUGCGUGGUGUAGCGGUGAAAUGCUUAGAUAUCACGAAGAACUCCGAUUGCGAAGGCAGCUCACUGGACUGCAACUGACACUGAGGCACGAAAGUGUGGGUAUCGAACAGGAUUAGAUACCCGGGUAGUC
rnacentral:rRNA from 1 species